rnacentral:rRNA from 1 species
GACAGAGGGUGCAAACGUUGUUCGGAAUUACUGGGCGUAAAGCGCGUGUAGGCUGCUCUGCAAGUCAGGUGUGAAAGCCCCGGGCUCAACCUGGGAAUGGCGAUGGAUACUGGCUCGCUAGAGUGCGGUAGAGGAGAGUGGAAUUCCCGGUGUAGCAGUGAAAUGCGUAGAGAUCGGGAGGAACAUCAGUUGCGAAGGCGGCUCUCUGGACCAGCACUGACACUGAGGCACGAAAGCGUGGGGAGCAAACAGG